rnacentral:rRNA from 1 species
UACGGGGGGGGCGAGCGUUGUUCGGAAUUACUGGGCGUAAAGGGCGCGUAGGCGGUCUGCUAAGUUGGAUGUGAAAACUCUGGGCUUAACCCAGAGCCUGCAUUCAAAACUGACAGGCUAGAGUUCUGGAGGGGGAAGCGGAAUUCCUGGUGUAGCGGUGAAAUGCGUAGAUAUCAGGAGGAACACCGGUGGCGAAGGCGGCUUCCUGGACAGAAACUGACGCUGAGGCGCGAAAGCUAGGGGAGCAACAGGA